GAAUAUUGGUCAAUGGGGGGAACCCUGAACCAGCCAUGCCGCGUGCAGGAGGAAGGCCCUACGGGUCGUAAACUGCUUUUCUACGGGAACAACCGGAGGUACGUGUACCUUCCUGAGUGUACCGUAGGAAUAAGGAUCGGCUAACUCCGUGCCAGCAGCCGCGGUAAUACGGAGGAUCCGAGCGUUAUCCGGAUUUAUUGGGUUUAAAGGGUGCGUAGGCGGUUCUUUAAGUCAGGGGUGAAAUACGGCAGCUCAACUGUCGCAGUGCCUUUGAUACUGAAGGGCUUGAAUGGUCUCGAAGACGGCGGAAUGGGACAAGUAGCGGUGAAAUGCAUAGAUAUGUCCCAGAACCCCGAUAGCGAAGGCAGCUGUCUAGGGAUUUAUUGACGCUGAUGCACGAAAGCGUGGGUAUCGAA
rnacentral:rRNA from 1 species